UGUUCUCAGUCCCUCCACAAAUGUGUUGUGUGAGGAUUCUUUUCAGUCAUCCCCUGUCGGCAGUCCCUCGCCCAUGUCAUUGUGGGGGGAUCACCUUUUUUCACCCUUUGGUCUUUCACCUAUGAGUGCAUGUGAGGAUCCCAUUCUGUCCUCCCCUGUCUUCAGUCCCUCGCCAAGAUUACCUUGUGAAGGUCCCAUUGUGUCUGUUUAUGCCAUCAGUCCCCCAAUCAGUGAAGAUCCUAUUUUGUCAUCCCCCGUCCUCAGUCGUCCACCAAGCACACCGUGUGAGGAUCCUAUUGUGUCUUCCCCUGUCGUGAGUACUUCCUCCUCAACAUACUGCAAAAUUCCAAGUGCAAGAUUCCCUUGCUUUUGUGUCUGGAUGAAGUGUCAAAUGGACAGAGAAGAGGAACCAAUACCCUCAACUUCUGGAAUUGGAUCUGACGGAAUUAGAGGAAGAGAGAGUUCCAGACAAGAGUGGUUUAGACCUCACUACGACCUGUCAAGUGAUGACUCUGAUUAGAUUGGGAUCUUAAAAAACUGAAGACCUAUCGGAGAAGACCCAUUAGGAUACUGUAAUUUCUCUGUUUAUGUUAAAGCAAAUGGCUUUCUAGCAGGACCGAGGAUGCCUUAGGUAGCAUCUUGCACCAGGGCUUUUCUUUAUCCCGCUGCUAGAUGUCUCAUUUUAGAUGUUAAGGUUUCUGGCAGGACAGGCAAUGCUUCCUUUUUUGCUGUUAAUGAAUGAAUGACUAAAUGCUGGAGGAUGCUAAUUUAACUUUAUGAGGAACAAGACAAUACUGCUGAACAAAAAACUUUAAAAGUAGUCGGACAUGGAUGGUGCGUAAAAGAUAAACGUUAAAAGGAAUAAGACAACGCUACAGGAUUAAUAUUAAAUCUAAAACAAUCUUGCUGGGUAAAAAUCAAACCUCAAAACUAUAAAGACAACGCGGCUCAGGACACUGGAAUCAAUACGAUUGAGAAACAAAUUAAACUCUAAAAUUUAAACAAUAUUUCUGAAAGUUCUAAUUUUUAAGACAUAAAAACAUACAAAUGGAGACACAUUAUAAUCAGUUGAGCUCUACGGAUUGAAACAGCGGUUUUAAAGUUACAAUCAUUCUGGUCUGGACUUUAUAAAAACCACAGGGAGUGAAACGUUUUUAAGUAUGAAAUAACAACGGCAGCAACAGUAAAAACAGGAGUUAAUUCAAACGUUCAAAGAUGAAAGAGGAAGAGAGAAAUAGGCAGGACCUUUGGACCCGGAUAUGAACUGUUGAUCCACGGAUCAAUCAUUUGGUGGCUGCAUUCCAAAACCCUCAACACCACAUGUUAAAAUGAGCAAGACAUUUAAACUCAGGUGAUAAUAAUGGUUUUAAAAGUAGGUAAUGCUGCCGGGUGUCAAACCUAAAAUCUCUUAAGACUGAGAAGAGACAACGCUUUUCUGGACAAAUUCAUUUCUCUAAGGAUGGAGACAACGCUUCUCAAGUAGGGAGAAAUAUUCAUCUUUUAGGACUAAUAUGAUGUCACGGUGGACAAAUUAAAAUGUAGAAGAAUUUAAACAUCCCGCGGAGUACAAAUUAAAAUCUUUAAGGAUAAAAGAAAAAGACAGGAAUAAAUGCCAAGUUUCAGGGUGUAAUAGCGGUGCUUCCCCACACGGUGCUUCUAAUAUAGUCAAUUGUUCUCACCUGGUCCUUCAUUAAUCCAGUCUCCCAGUUUGAAUCUUUCAGGUUUUAGCUGCUCAUCGUUGGAUUCUUUCCUGGUUCUCCAUGUGGUUCCUGUCCUCCUGGUUCCUGUUUGUUGGAUCUCCUGAGCCUGGAAUCCUCCACCUUCAACACCGUCAGUCAGGUGGAGGAAGAUAAGAGAACCCAGUUGACGAAAAAAAGUAAGAACAUUUCUAUCUACUCAACAUAACUAAACAUUUCAGAUGGAGCUGCGUAGAGUUGAGCUGAAAGUUCCAAACUGGUUCUGUCUGCUGUCCAUGAUUAUUUUCCUCUUUAACUCUCUUGUCUUUUCUCUUGAUUUCAUUUCUCUGUCAACUCAUGUCACAUGACUUGAGUUGACCAACAAAUAAAGCAGAAGACCUGCUCCACCUGCUGUUCUACUGGUUGGAAGAGAUUGUGGAAAAGCAUCAGUGAGACAAGACAACAACUCUGGACCAAUGAGGAGAGAGAAGACACAGAGGACUGAGGAGACACAGAAAAUCCUGCUGGACAUUCAUAAAAAAUGUUUCCUGAUGGACCAGGGGGACAGCUGAGGACAGGACAGAAUAAAGAGACAGAGAUCAUGUGAAAUUCAAGGAUGACCUUUCAACCCUGGAUUUCAUUUCUGCUUUGAAACUUCAAGUGUGGAAAAGUUGAUGAGAGGAAAUCUUUGAGGUUCAGCUCAGUGAAAAGGGCAGCACCAGACGACAAGAAGAAACCAGACUGCUAGGAUUCUCCUUGAGACGGACCAAACCUCGCUUUCCUGUUCAAACACUGACAAAAUACCAAAGCCCAAGACAAACCAUCAGUUUCUAAAAAGACAUGAACUUUGGGAUGCAAAACUCUCUGGACUUUAUUGAGUUCAAAUGAAGAAUCACAGAACAUUUAUAUUUAUAUAUAAAUAUUAGAAA